ensembl:lncRNA
AUCAAGGAUUCUUUAAUCAGAACAUAAAUCUUUCAGACACACAUCACAGACUAUAGUACAUCAGAUCAUAACUGCCUUUUUUUCUUUUCCCCCCAUCCAUUUUGCAAUUACAACCUCUCAGUGGUGGAGGAACAGCACUGAAGUAGCAGAGAGAAAGCAAUACCCUGAAAAAGCAGUUUUAAACAUGAUGAACUUGGUACUUUUAGUUUAUCUCAGUCUGCAAUUUCAACUCUCAUGGGACUCAGUGAAAUGGAAUCGGGCAAUACGGAUCAAUAAUGUGAAAUUCUGUUGUAAAGGGUAUAGUAUAAAAUAAACAUUAAGAGCCAGAGACUGUUUUUAUCUGUUCCCCUUCUUCUACCACCUGUCUAUGGAAUUAAAAUAAAAAUUUUUUUUCAAACAGGUAAGAACACUUUACCUGUGUUUACCCAUUUCCAUAUCUAUUUUCUGUAGCCCAUGGAGAACAUUUCAUGAGAAGAACCUAAGUUUAUCCAAAUUGAUCUUUUCAGCAAUUGCACACAGUUCUCUUAAAGAGUGGCCAUUUGGAAACUGGUUGUAUUAAUAUUUGGUGAUAGACAUACUUAAAACAGUGAAAUCUGUAAAAAGAAAAACAUUAUCAGAUACUAUUUUAAGUGUAAAUAAGUAAAAUCUUAUCAAGGAGAUUUUAAUGAAAAUAUUUGCUUCCUUUAAACUAAUGUUCCAAAGAUAGAUAAACUCAGUUUCUAGUUUUUGAAACGAGAAGUUUAGGAUAUGUAGUGGUAAAAAUCAUGAAAGUGGAAGUUACAAGGAAGAUAUACCAUAUUCCAUAAGUGAAUUGUAAAUUGGCUCAAAAGAUCUCUUAAUACUUCCCCAAAGUGAUACAUAAAGUUUUCUACAAUCUAGCCAAACUGGAAUUGAUGCCCAGAAAUAUAAUAUGUCUGAAUCAAAAAACAUACCUUGAGUUAUGGAUGGAAUACUAAAGCCAUACCAAAUGUUCUUUACAGAAGCAUCUUAUAAAAAAGCAUUUACAAAAUGAAAAAGCAUCUACCAAAUGAAAAAAAUAAAAAAGAUGUUUCUGUAGUUCUUGUGUACAUGUAAUAUAUUUUGACCAAAAAAAUAUAUACAUUAUGUUCUGCAUUUCACUUUGAGGUUUUUUAUACUUUAAUUUUCAUGACUUUUUUCUGAACAUCAGGAGACUCAAAUACCUAUCACUCAAAUUUAACAUUGUUACCACCUUCCUACCUGUAGCUAUAGAUACCAUUAAACCCCAUUCUUAAUAACUAUGCCCUACUUUUUAGAAUUAACCAUUUUUGGAAAUUAGAGGCUAUCAGUCCCCAAGUUCCUGUCAAUCUGUACCCUAAAUCUUUCAAUUGCUCUCUCUUGCUUUUUAUUUCUUUCUCUCUGUGAGCAGUGCUCUGGGUGAAUUCUUCACUUACUACCUGUACAAUCUUGAGCAAGUUAAUUAACCUCUAUACAUCCGCUUCCUCAUUUGUAAAAUGUUGACAAUAACAGUGCCUACCUCAUAGGGUAGUUAGAAUAAUCAUUUAUGAAACAUUUAGAAAAGAAUGGUAUAAAUUUCUCAAUAAUAUGUCUCAAUUCAUUAAUCUUUCUUUGGCUGCAAACUAGAGGUUAUCAUAACUAGUGUAACUUUAUAACUUUUUUUUUCUUUGCCAAUAAUUCUAAUUAUUUUUUCCACAUCCUACUAUUUUUACUUCUGCCUCUGUUAGUGUCACAAAUUCUUGUCCUUUUAAAGGGAUAUUAUCCCUUAGUUUACUGUUUUAUAGACUUUUUCAGAAGCUCUAUGAAAUUUAUUUCAUCUGGCUGGAAUAAAUUUUUAUUAAUAUUUUUGUUGGCCAUACUUUUUGGUUGACUUUUACUUUUUAUUCAUUAAAAAAAAUUUAUUUUAUAUUGGAGUAUAGUUGAUUAACAGUGUUGUUAGUUUCAGGUGUACAGCAAACUGAUGCAUGUAUCUCUUCAAGUUAUUUUCCCAUUUAGCUUAUUACAGAAUAUUGAGCAGCAUUCCAUGUGCUAUACAGUAGGUCCCUACUGGUUUUUUGUUUUAAAUAUAUCAGUGUGUAAUAUCAAUCCUAAACUCCCCAUCUGUUCCUCCCAUCUACCCUGGUAAUCAUAAAUUUGUUCUCUAAGUCUGUGCGUCUGUUUCUGUUUUCUAAGUAAGUUCAUUUGUAACAUUUUUUUAAGAUUCUGGAUAUAAGCAAUAUCAUAUUUGUCUUCUCUAUAUGACUUCACUUAGUAUGACAAUCUCUAGGUCCAUCCAUGUUGCUACAAGUAGCAUUAUUAAAUUCUUUUUAUGGCUGAGUAAUAUUCCAUUGAGCUUUCCAGGUGGCUCAGUGGUAAAGCAUCUGCCGGAAAUGCAGGAGGCUCAGGUUCGAUCCCUGGGUGGUGAAGAUCCCCUGGAGAAGGAAAUGGAAACCCACUCCAGUAUUCUUCCCUGGGAAAUCCCACGGACAGAGGAAUCUGGUGGACUACAGUUCACUGUAG